GUGUUACCUAGCUAGCCUCUGUAUUUGGUGUUUUUGUCGUGACCAACAACAGUGGCAUCGGGAUUCGCCUUCAAAAUAAGUCACCCAUUAACUUGCAAACGGAUUUUUUUUUAAACUAAUUGGAAUUAUGCCACAAUUGUUCUAAACAAGGUUGUAAUGUUAUACACAUUCAGCCUACUCGGGAACACAAAAUGAAAAGUUUACACAUGUUCGCGUUGUAGCUCUUACUGUACUACUUAAACUAUGGACAAUCACCUCACUAUUCAACCUAUUGUACUUGUUGAACAUUCAUAUUAGGCAAAACGCAUAUUACCCCCAUUUCAUGGACUCAAGAUCAGUGGGUAUCAGCUUACUUUCAAUUUCAUGGACCCAAUAUCCGUAGGUAAGGUAGUGGACCGUUCAGCCCGUUCUCUUAUUGAGGUGGAGUUUCAGGUUUGAUUGCUGGUCGCGGGAUUUGGUAGCAACAACAUUGAGUCUCUGUCAGUCGAUUCUUGUAAAAGUGUCAAUUCUGAAAACGCUUUACCUGUACAACUGCGGUUUUUCCGCGGGGUGCUGAAAUUAUUUUUUUUGUUAAAAGGAUACAACCUCCCAAGUUGUUCUCGUUUGUGCUGCACAAAUCCGCACGCAUGUGCCAAUUGAAUCUCAGUUUACGUAGUACGACCGACACACGAGGAAGAAGUCAGUGGUUUUAUUUGAUAAGUUUAAAGUAUGAAUUUUCAGGACCGCAGUUGUAAAGGGCAAACCGGUAAGGUAAGCGUUUUCAGAAUUGACUGAAGGUGACUGUUGUUGCUAGCAAAUCCCGCGACGGUUAUCCAAACUCAACUAUAAAAGAAAGUAGAGGAGUUGAGCGUUACUCGCCUAUAGGCAAGGCUGUACAUUUCAAGAUGAAUGUUAAAUACACACAAUAGGCUGAACAGUUAGGUGAUUUCCAACAGCUGAAGUCCCGCAAUAAGAGAGACGAUAAUAUGUGUAACCUGUGGGUGACGCUGAGUAGGCCGGACCCAAGAUCAUGGAUCCAAGAUCCUGAGGGGUCAGUAUUUGGCACUUCUUCCGCGCUUGUAAAGGUGCCAGCAUGCUUCCCAGUCGAAACAGUUCGUGCAUAUAUUAUGUUUGUGGACUUCGUUGAGGGUUCUGGAGACAAGCCGAAGUUCGGAGCCGAAGUUUACUGAUCAUUUUCCAUCAAUGGAUGUUUUUUUAUUUAUCCUUUAUUUUACCAGGUAAGUUGACUGAGAACAAGUUCUCAUUUACAGCAACGACCUGGGGAAUAGUUACAGGGGAUGAAUGAGCCAAUUGUAAAUUGGGGAUUAUUAGGUGACCAUGAUGGCUUGAGGGCCAGAUUGGGAAUUUAGCCAGGAUACCGGGGUUAACACCCCUACGAUAAGUGCCAUGGGAUCUUUAAUGACCUCAGAGAGUCAGGACACCUGUUUAAAGUCCCAUCCGAAAGAUGGCACCCUACACAGGGCAGUGUCCCCAAUCACUGCCCUGGGGGAUUGGGAUAUUCUUUAUUUUUUAGACCAGAGGAAAUAGUGCCUCCUACAGGCCAUCCAACACCACUUCCAGCAGCAUCUGGUCUCCCAUCCAGGGACUGACCAGGACCAACCCUGCUUCAGAAGCAAGUCACCACCAAGCAAGUGGCAAUAUGAAGACUAAGGAGCUCUCCGAACAGGUACUGACAGGAGGCAUGACGAGGACGCUGAUCCAGUGGACCUGGUGCCAGUAAGGAUGGUCGUCACGGAGGCGAUAAGACCGUCCAGGAUAGAGAAAUCCUUCGACUUCACUGCCUUUUCAAUGACGAUCCCACAGAUGAAGAAGCUGGAAGUGGAGGUCCUGGGCUGUCCUGGUUACACAUGGUCUGUGGAUGUACUGCCAAAAUAUCUUACAAAGUUGGAGGCGGCUUAUGGUUUUAUUGUCCCCAGCACAAGGUGCACCUGUGUAAUGAUCUUGCAGUUUAAAUCAGCUUGAUAUGCUACACCUGUCAGGUGGAUGGAUUAUAUUGGCAAAGGAGAAAUGCUCACCAACAGGGAUGUAGACAAAUUUGUACACAUUUUGUGCAUAUGGAACAUUUUAUUAUUUCAGCUCAUGAAACAUGGGACUAACACUUUACAUGUUGCCUUUUAUAUUUUUAUUCAGUGUAAAGUUAUUUGAUUGAUUGACAUUACAGCUGUAAAAUAUUUAACAAGUGCAGUUGUUCCAUAAACGUUCAAUUGAUAACUUGGGAUUGUAUCACUUGACAUAUCUAUCAUACAGUGUGAAGGAUCCUAUAAAUCAAGACUGAAUGCAUGUGCCACUCUGAAUAAAUAAAUACUGUGACUUUGAA